rnacentral:rRNA from 1 species
GAUGAACGCUGGCGGCGUGCCUAAUACAUGCAAGUCGAGCGAACAGAUGAGGAGCUUGCUCCUCUGACGUUAGCGGCGGACGGGUGAGUAACACGUGGAUAACCUACCUAUAAGACUGGGAUAACUUCGGGAAACCGGAGCUAAUACCGGAUAAUAUAUUGAACCGCAUGGUUCAAUAGUGAAAGACGGUUUUGCUGUCACUUAUAGAUGGAUCCGCGCCGCAUUAGCUAGUUGGUAAGGUAACGGCUUACCAAGGCAACGAUGCGUAGCCGACCUGAGAGGUUGAUCGGCCACACUGGAGCUGAGACACGGUCCAGACUCCUACGGGAGGCAGCAGUAGGGAAUCUUCCGCAAUGGGCGAAAGCCUGACGGAGCAACGCCGCGUGAGUGAUGAAGGUCUUCGGAUCGUAAAACUCUGUUAUUAGGGAAGAACAAAUGCGUAAGUAACUAUGCACGUCUUGACGGUACCUAAUCAGAAAGCCACGGCUAACUACGUG